GAGGGUAGAGCUCAGUGGUAGAGUGCAUGCCUAGUAUACAUGAGGUCUGGAGUUCAAUCCCCAGUACCUCCA
rnacentral:tRNA from 1 species